UGGGCUAGAGUGCGAUAUUAUUUUUAGCCUGCCACAGGUGGAGUAUAACUGUGACUAAUCUAAUACUGAAAUCAGAUUAUAGAUAGGACACGGAUGAUAUUUGGAUUGAUUGGCCAUACAAAAUAUAUGGUGUGUGCACUAGAUCAACCUUGGAUUGAGGUACAAUAUUGUGUUUGAUCUACUACGGCUGAAGUAUAGUUAUAAUUAAUCCAA
rnacentral:lncRNA from 1 species